rnacentral:rRNA from 1 species
AUUGAACGCUGGCGGCAGGCCUAACACAUGCAAGUCGAGCGGUAACAGGGAGCUUGUUCCUGGAUUCAUGGGCGGACGCGUGCGGAAGGGCUAUGACUCUGCCUGGUCGUGGGGGAUAACGUUCGGUAAUGGGCGCUAUUACCGCUUCCGCCUAGAGUGACAAAGCGAGGGAGCUUCGGACUCCACGCUAUCAGAUGAGCCUAGGUCGGAUUAGCUAGUUGGUGGGGUAAAGGCCUACCUAGGCGACGAUCCGUAGCUGGUCUGAGAGGAUGAUCAGUCACACUGGAACUGAGACACGGUCCAGACUCCUACGGGAGGCAGCAGUGGGGAAUAUUGGACAAUGGGCGAAAGCCUGAUGCAGCCAUGCCGCGUGUAUGAAGAAGGUCUUCGGGUUGUAAAGCACUUUAAGUUGGGAGGAAGGGAGUAAAGUUAAUACCUUGCUGUAUUGACGUUACCAGCAGAAUAAGCACCGGCUAACUUCGUG